CAGAUGUCCAGGAACCCGGGUUGUCCAUUCAAAUUGGUAUCCUGGAACUGGCAGAGGAAGACUGGUCCAGACUGGUAGCUUUAUCUCUGCUCUUCCAGCUGAUGAAGGAAGUGGAGCAGCAGCUCUGGGAUGGUGUCAGAGAUAGAGGCCAGCUCAAGAUUCAGCCCCCAGAGGUUGCAGUCGGUGGGUGGCCUGUCUCUGCUGCUGAUGCACUGUGCUGCACACAUUUCCACCAACAAUAUGAGGACCGACUCCACUAAUGCCUUCCAGAGGGCCUUCUUCAAACUACUACAUGCAACCACCACAGCUUGACCGAAUGUGCUAACAGAAUUAAAGGAUUAAUUCACCCCAAAAUUAUGAAAAUUCUGUCAUUACUCACCCUAAGUGAGUCACUCCAGAGCUGUAUGAC